ACCCGAGGCCACGCCCCAGAUCGGAAGUGACGGAGACGAGCUAGCGCGUCGAAGGUACCUCUAUGGUUUUCCUCGCGUUCUUGAGUCGGGAAAUGGCCGCUGUGUGGUUGCAACGGAGAUAAAUCCCCGGAACCGCGAUUCUGCGUGUCAGGAAUUUGAAUUUAGAGUUUAAUCUCUCAGAGCAUUCUCUCCAGGAGGAAUAUUUACAGUAUCUGAAAGACUUCACUUGACUUCUUGAUCCUGCUUAAAGCCAAGGAGAAAAGAAAUGGGUCGCUCCAAUUCUAGAUCACAUUCUUCAAGGUCAAAGUCUAGAUCACAGUCUAGUUCUCGAUCAAGAUCAAGAUCUCAUUCUAGAAAGAAGCGAUACAGUUCUAGGUCUCGUUCCAGAACAUAUUCAAGGUCUCGUAGUAGAGAUCGUAUGUAUUCUAGAGAUUAUCGUCGUGAUUACAGAAAUAAUAGAGGAAUGAGACGACCUUACGGGUACAGAGGAAGGGGUAGAGGGUAUUAUCAAGGAGGAGGAGGUAGAUACCAUCGAGGUGGUUAUAGACCUGUCUGGAAUAGAAGGCACUCUAGGAGUCCUAGACGAGGUCGUUCACGUUCCAGGAGUCCAAAAAGAAGAUCCGUUUCUUCUCAAAGAUCCAGAAGCAGAUCUCGCCGGUCAUAUAGAUCUUCUAGGUCUCCAAGAUCAUCCUCUUCUCGUUCUUCAUCCCCAUAUAGCAAAUCUCCUGUUUCUAAAAGACGAGGGUCUCAGGAAAAACAAACCAAAAAAGCUGAAGGGGAACCCCAAGAAGAGAGUCCGUUGAAAAGUAAAUCACAGGAGGAACCGAAAGAUACAUUUGAACAUGACCCAUCUGAAUCUAUCGAUGAAUUUAAUAAGUCAUCAGCCACAUCCGGUGAUAUUUGGCCUGGCCUUUCAGCUUAUGAUAAUAGUCCUAGAUCACCCCAUAGUCCUUCACCUAUUGCUACACCACCUAGUCAGAGUUCAUCUUGCUCUGAUGCUCCCAUGCUCAGUACAGUUCAUUCUGCAAAAAAUACUCCUUCUCAGCAUUCACAUUCCAUUCAGCAUAGUCCUGAAAGGUCUGGGUCUGGUUCUGUUGGAAAUGGAUCUAGUCGAUACAGUCCCUCUCAGAAUAGUCCAAUUCAUCACAUCCCUUCACGAAGAAGUCCUGCAAAGACAAUCGCACCACAGAAUGCUCCAAGAGAUGAGUCUAGGGGCCGUUCCUCAUUUUAUCCUGAUGGUGGAGAUCAGGAAACUGCAAAGACUGGGAAGUUCUUAAAAAGGUUCACAGAUGAAGAGUCUAGAGUAUUCCUGCUUGAUAGGGGUAAUACCAGGGAUAAAGAGGCUUCAAAAGAGAAAGGAUCAGAGAAAGGGAGGGCAGAGGGAGAAUGGGAAGAUCAGGAAGCUCUAGAUUACUUCAGUGAUAAAGAGUCUGGAAAACAAAAGUUUAAUGAUUCAGAAGGGGAUGACACAGAGGAGACAGAGGAUUAUAGACAGUUCAGGAAGUCAGUCCUCGCAGAUCAGGGUAAAAGUUUUGCUACUGCAUCUCACCGGAAUACUGAGGAGGAAGGACUCAAGUACAAGUCCAAAGUUUCACUGAAAGGCAAUAGAGAAAGUGAUGGAUUUAGAGAAGAAAAAAAUUAUAAACUUAAAGAGACUGGAUAUGUAGUGGAAAGGCCUAGCACUACAAAAGAUAAGCACAAAGAAGAAGACAAAAAUUCUGAAAGAAUAACAGUAAAGAAAGAAACUCAGUCACCUGAGCAGGUAAAGUCUGAAAAGCUCAAAGACCUCUUUGAUUACAGUCCCCCUCUACACAAGAAUCUGGAUGCACGGGAAAAAUCUACCUUCAGAGAGGAAAGCCCACUUAGGAUCAAAAUGAUAGCGAGUGAUUCUCAUCGUCCUGAAGUCAAACUCAAAAUGGCACCUGUUCCUCUUGAUGAUUCUAACAGACCUGCUUCCUUGACUAAAGACAGGCUGCUUGCUAGUACACUUGUCCAUUCUGUCAAGAAGGAGCAAGAGUUCCGAUCCAUCUUUGACCACAUUAAGUUGCCACAGGCCAGCAAAAGCACUUCAGAGUCAUUUAUUCAACACAUUGUGUCCUUGGUUCAUCAUGUUAAAGAGCAAUACUUCAAGUCAGCUGCAAUGACCCUAAACGAGCGGUUCACUUCGUAUCAGAAAGCCACUGAAGAACAUAGUACUCGGCAAAAGAGCCCUGAAAUACACAGGAGAAUUGACAUCUCACCAAGUACCUUGAGGAAGCAUACCCGUUUAGCAGGGGAAGAGAGAGUUUUUAAAGAAGAAAAUCAGAAGGGAGAUAAAAAAUUAAGGUGUGACUCUGCUGACCUUCGGCAUGACAUUGAUCGCCGUAGAAAAGAAAGAAGUAAAGAACGGGGAGAUUCCAAGGGCUCCAGGGAAUCCAGUGGAUCAAGAAAGCAGGAAAAAACUCCAAAAGAUUACAAGGAAUACAAAUCUUACAAAGAUGACAGCAAAAAUGUAUUUGUCUUUUACACGGCUUAUGGUGGAUGAGGACAAAAACUUUGGAAUAGCAAGCUAACACUGAAAAAAAAAAUGACAAAUUAAUGUGUCCUAUUAUCCAGGCUACAUCAGGAGGUUGGACUUCAAUGCAGUGCAUUUCUAGAAACAGUUUGUUAAACAUAAAAGUAGAGAGCAAGAUCAUUCUCGAUCUUCAUCCUCUUCAGCAUCACCUUCUUCUCCCAGUUCUCGAGAAGAAAAGGAGAGUAAGAAGGAAAGAGAAGAAGAAUUUAAAACCCACCAUGAAAUGAAAGAAUACUCAGGCUUUGCAGGAGUUAGCCGACCACGAGGAACCUUUCAUGACGACAGAGAUGAUGGUGUGGAUUAUUGGGCCAAAAGAGGAAGAGGUCGUGGUACUUUUCAACGUGGCAGAGGGCGCUUUAACUUCAAAAAAUCAGGUAGCAGUCCUAAAUGGACUCAUGACAAAUACCAAGGGGAUGGGAUUGUUGAAGAUGAAGAAGAGACCAUGGAAAAUAAUGAAGAAAAGAAGGACAGACGCAAGGAGGAAAAGGAAUAAUAAAUAAUGAAGUAAGAUUACAGCAGAGCAGAACUUGCACCCACCAUUUUUUUACCUGAUUUUUGUUUUCAAAUAAGAAUGUAAGCAUUUUACUUAAAUUUUACUGUUUGCAAGUAGUCUAUAGAAAUUUUGUUUUAAGUUUUCAAAUAUCUUGAGAAAUAGUAGACUGUAUGUUGAAAAUUGUACUGAAAUAAAGUAGAAAAUUGUUACGUACCAUAUUUGUAACUAUCAACUUUUAAAAAAAACUUUUAACGUUUUUGUUACAUGCAUUGUAAUUCUGCUUUGUCUAUAAGAUACGGUCAAGUACAGCUCUGUGAAAGUUCUGAUUCUCUUCCUUCCCUGUUUGUCAAUGUUUUAUUCUGAAGUAAACGUUAGCUCUACAUAUAAAUCCUGGAACAGAAAUUGUUUAUAGAGAUUACACUAAUUAUUUUAACUGUAUACAUCUGUUUAAUUUGAACACACUACAUUGUAGGGUGACUAAUUUUUGAAGUAUACCACAGACAAAAGGUUGUUACUUUGGUAAACUAAGCUAGUUUAACACUUGAGCAAAUGCUUAAGAAGGAGUAAAAAAAAAAAAAAAAAAGCUUUGCCAAUAGCUAAAAAGUACAAGCUAUUAAAAAUUAGACUGAAAAGUUUUGAGAAAAUGUUAUUUUUACUGAAAGCAAGCAGUGGCCUAUAAAGAACAUUCUUAGGAGCCUUUUCUAUUUGCGUUCAAAACCGAGUGUUCUCUUUCUAUUCCUAUUUGAUAGUUUGAGUCAUGGUCUUAGAUAUUAGCUAUUUGUGAGAGGAAACUGGUUUGUAAUAAUACUGCAAAUAGAAACCCCAUUUCUACUGAACAUCCUAGUUUUAAACAGAAGAAAAACUGUAAUCCUGGGGUUGGUAUGGAGGAGGUUUAUCCUGCAGAAUAAGUUGAUACAUUAGUACCUGAUUUCAUAUCUUACAUAUUUAUUUGAGCUGAACAUUAGUUUGUAGUGUAACUAUUAGUAAAAAUAGAGAAACACAACAUACUGUUCAUUAAUAGUAUUUUAAGAAAAUUGUUUUUCAAAUGUCACCAAUAAAAGUUUUGGCAGGAAGCUUGUUGCUGCAUUGAUCUAACUUGUUUCUCCCCCCCCCGACCUCCCCCCUUUUCAGUUGCAGUUUGUAAAAUGGCUUUUUCUUUUUUCUCUUAAGGGUUCUAUUCUUCAGGUAGAUAAUUUUUCAAAUGUGAAUUAUCUUUUGUGUCUAUAUAUUGAUAGCUCUUAAAGGAGUGAAAAUCUAAAAUAUUAAAUUUCAGUGUUAAGUCUAUUUGCUUUAUGGGCAUAUAUAAAAGUAGACACAUUUCAUUUGUUAAUUUAGUUGUGUGUGUUAAAAGGAGCUAAUGCUUAUUCUGUUAAUGUAAACUUUUGAAGAUCUUAAGUGUAUUGCUCUUUCAUCUUAAAACAUUUUCGAGGAUUUGCAAUGCGUCUAGCACCUCGGUUACAGCCAGGGACGUUGGUUAAGAGCUGUUGGAAACAAAACUAAAAGCAUACUCAACAUAUGUGAUGUUUAUGGCCCUCAGAUCCUUAGUAUUGUGAUUUUUUCCCCCCCCUUAACAUGUCUUUCUGAAAUUGUCUAUUAAAGCAGAGGAAAUACCUGCCAAAGGAAGUAUGUAUUGCAUUAAUCAGGACAUAACUGAUAUUUUCCUGUUCAGAAUAAUACGUGUGAAAGCAACAUGGAUGUGAUCCCCAACACAGAAUUUUCAUGACCCUUUUAUUGUAUACAAAUAAAUACAUAACAGUUACUUGGUUAGACAUCAAAUCUGUGUGCAUGACUAUGUGCUUAUCCACUUAAGACAAUAGAUAAAAGGGGAUUUGAGAAAUUAUUUAAUAGGGAGUGGAAAUAAAGCUACUUAAUUCCUGUGGGCAGGUUAUAUUUUAAGUUCAAAUGCACUGCUUUAACCUUUGGUUACUUUUAUUCUAUUAAACAAAAUUGAGGAAAGAGUGUUAUACCAGAAUAUAGUAGGCUAGGGUGAUGGUAAGAACUCUGUAAUAGAAUGUCAUUAUGGAUGUUAUCUUUUUCAGAUCAAGCAUAUAAAAAGUAGCCUGUAUAUUUUUUUAAAACACAUCUUAACUCCACACUUUACGACAUUAUAAAAGUUGAAUGGUUCCUCUUGGCAAGGAUAUUUGCUUACAAAUGCUAGGAAAUAACUCAUUGAUACCUGCGUUAACAUAUUUUGCCUAGAGAAGGGCAAUAAAAACUGAACCAAAGGAUAUUUCCAGAAAGGAUUAAGAAAGCUGUUUAAGAAGGCCAUGACUCUUUAGGUGUGUAUGUGUACCUUUCAGCAUCCUAGGAAUUUUUAUAUUAAAAGCAAAACGUUUUUCCAAUUACAGUCUACUUCAAGGAAUUACUAUUCUUCCUUUUGUCACAGGUAAAAUCAGUGUCGGGAAUUAUAAUUUGAGAAAAAUAUUACCCAGUAAGUAACAUUGAAUGUAGAUGGCUAAACGAUUCUUACUCAGUGUGAUGUAUAAUGCAACAGGGACCCUUGUAAAUUGUCAUACGCCAAUAAAAUGUCACAAGUAAUAACCGC